rnacentral:rRNA from 1 species
AUUGAACGCUGGCGGCGUGCCUAAUACAUGCAAGUCGAACGAGUUGCGAACGGGUGAGUAACGUGUGGUAACCCGCCUCAUAGUGGGGGAUAACUAUUGGAAACGAUAGCUAAUACCGCAUUCUGUGAGCUGGACCUGAGUUGUAUUAGCUUGUUGGUGGGGUAACGGCUCACCAAGGCGACGAUCCCUAGCUGGUCUGAGAGGAUGACCAGCCACACUGGAACUGAGACACGGUCCAGACUCCUACGGGAGGCAGCAGUGGGGAAUAUUGCACAAUGGGCGCAAGCCUGAUGCAGCCAUGCCGCGUGUAUGAAGAAGGCCUUCGGGUUGUAAAGUACUUUCAGCGGGGAGGCGUUACCCGCAGAAGAAGCACCGGCUAACUCCGUGCCAGCCGCCGCGGUAAUUC